rnacentral:rRNA from 1 species
UACGUAGGGGGGCAAGCGUUGUCCGGAUUUAUUGGGCGUAAAGAGCGUGUAGGCGGCCAGACAGGUCCGUUGUGAAAACUCGAGGCUCAACCUCGAGACGCCGAUGGAAACCGUUUGGCUAGAGUCCGGAAGAGGAGAGUGGAAUUCCUGGUGUAGCGGUGAAAUGCGCAGAUAUCAGGAAGAACACCCGUGGCGAAGGCGGCUCUCUGGGGCGGUACUGACGCUGAGACGCGAAAGCGUGGGGAGCGAACAGG